UACGUAGGGGCCUAGCGUUGUCCGGAUUUAUUGGGCGUAAAGAGCUCGUAGGCGGUUUGGUAAGUCGGGUGUGAAAUCUCCACGCUCAACGUGGAGGGGCCACCCGAUACUGCCAUGACUGGAGUCCGGUAGGGGAGUGUGGAAUUCCCGGUGUAGCGGUGAAAUGCGUAGAUAUCUGGAGGAACACCGGUGGCGAAGGCGGCGUUCUGGACGGCAUCUGACACUGAGAAACGAAAGCCAGGGGAGCAAACGGG
rnacentral:rRNA from 1 species